rnacentral:lncRNA from 1 species
AAAAUACAAAAAAAUAAUUUUAUUUUAAUGGUCAGUCUUAUUUUAAUAGUUAUUUUAUUUAAGUAAAAUUAAUUAAUAAACAAGGUAGUAUUUUAGUCUCGUUCGCGGGAAAAGAAAAAAAACUUGGGCUCGAGCAACCCAUCUUUAAGCCUAAUUUUGAACCUAGCCCAUAAUUCCCAAAACUAUAAUUCCUAGGCACAUACCCCUAACCUAAUCCCUACCCCUAUAUAAUAGUACCUACACCUAAAGCAUGGAGGGGACAAAAAAAAAGUUGCAUUCCGCUGUUUUCCUAUCAGACCUCCCCCACGCUCCUUCUUCUUCAUUCUUCAUCACCAUUAGAGAGCCUUAGACAGGGGAGCCGAAGCAGUGCCGCAAACCCCAAAAUCCAAAACACAAACAACCUCCAUGAUCGUCUUAUUUAUCGGAAAAUCCCCAAGAGAUGUACACCUAAGGAAGCAGCAGUCACACCCAAACAACCAUAUCAGUUCUAUUAGAUUUCUCAAUCAAAAAUCCAGAAACACUUUGGUUUUUUUCUGUAGAUUUCGAUUUCAAAGAUGGAUUCGGUUAGAAUUAUUUGAUUCGGAUUUCCAUUUGAAGUUCGAGUCUGCCGAUGAUAACAUUUCUGUUCUUCAUUUGAUUCUGAUAUUCGGUUCUUCGAGUAUGGGAGUGGAGUUAAAUCAAGGUUGAUUCGAGUUCGUCGUCGGUGAAGUUCCCCGUGCCCGAUCCAGCUUGUUCGUGCUCUCUCGUCGAGCUUGUAUCUUUGUAUUCAUCUCCAUGUAUAUAAAGGAAUUGGGAGCAGAAGUAUAUCCCAUUGGAGUAGAACAAGUAAGUUGCUUUGCUUUUUCUUUCUAGGCGAUUCAAGUUAAUGGACUAUUUUUAUAGAAUUAUCAUUUUGCUUAGAUCUUGACAGUUGGUAUUGGGAAUGUGUGGAAUAUUUGGUAUUUCUGUUUGCACUUGACCCUUUCUAUUUCAAAUUGCUUCCAUGAAAUGGCGAUAGUGACUUGCUGCCUUUCUUAAACGAUAUCAUUUUGUUUUUGGUAUUUUUGCUAGAUUUUGUCUCUGCAGUUGAUUUGCCAUUACGGUUUCUUUAUCUUCUCUGUUUCCAUUAUUCUUUUUUUUUCUUUUUUUUGGAUAAAAUUUGCUGAAUUAUGUUGGAAUUGAUUGCUGAAUAAUGUGAAAGAGGGUGGACUGCAUCGGGAUAGUGAUUGGCCGUUUUGUUGUAUGUUUACUACGUUUCUCACUUCUGAUUUGAUUCAUGAAAUAUAUGGUGAGGCAUAAAAAUAGGCAGAAACUAUGGUUGUAUGUUUGACCUCCAUACAAUAAAAAUUAGUGAUGUAUGUUUACUAUGGCAUUUUGGCCAAUAUUGAAUUAAAGAGACUUGAGAAAUGUGAUCAAAAUCAGUAACGUGGCCAUACUCUUUUAUGCACCCCAUUCACUCUUUUGUCUUGUAGUAUUAUAUCUUUUCAGAAUCUUACUUUUCCUGCAUUAUUAAUAUACUUUCUAUUUUUAACUAAUUGAAAAACGAACCUCGUAGUUUGCUUUAGGCGCGUUAAUUAUAUAAUUGUCAUGGCUACUACUAAAAUUCGGGUGUGCAUUUCAUGUGACCCGGUUCUAAUUUCCAACAAGAUUAAAUAGAAUGUGUCGUGAACCACGGGCGCAUUUCAUGUAGCGUGGCUUGCGAUAUGUUUUGAAUAAUCUUGAAUUAAUUCUUUAAAUAAUUAAAAGCGGUUUAAUAAGUUAAAAUUGUGCCAUAGGCUAAAACAUGUAAUAAAAUCAGAUAAUAGGCCAAUUAUAAUAGUUUAAGCGACCGUGCUAGAACCACGGAAUCCGGGAAUGCCUAACACCUUCUCCCGGUUAACAGAAUUCCUUACUCAGAAUUUCUGGUUCGUAGACUUCAAAAGGGAAGUUGAAUUUUUCUCGAUUUGGGAUUUUAAAAUAAAUCGGUGACUUGGGACACCAGAAAACGAACCAUCCCAAGUGGCGACUCUGAAUAAAAAUAAAUAAAUAAUCUCAUUUCAAAUAAUGUCACGUAAAGUGGAAAAACUCCCUUAUAUCACCUUCGGGUGUGUAAAAAGGAGGUGUGACACCUGUAUUUCUUAUAUUCAAAAUACCUUUCAAAUAGUAUGUAUAUGCAUAUAUAAGUAUACCCCAAGGCUACAUUUUUUUCUUAAUUUUUCAACGAUUUUUAAAUCAAUUUACUGCCUUAUUUUAUCAAGAAAAACCCAAUAAUUAUCCCAAAAUUAUCAUUUUUGGUGAUUCAGUUAUUGGAGUUUCAUGUUUAUAUUGGAAUAUAGCUAAGGUAUUUAUACAAAUUUAUUUGGUAUUUUAAAGUAUAGAAUUGCAUAAUUGCAAUAUUAGCCUUUUUUAGGUUUACAUUCGUUUCAUAUUCAUAAAAUGAGAUUUAAUAUUUUUAAAUUGAUAAUUAUAUAUUAUAAAUCAUUUUGAUGCUUUCAAUUUAUUUUCAGAUAUUAAUGUACAAUUUUGUUUAAUUUUUUAAAAGGGAAAAACUGGCUAUUUAAAUAAUAGCCUAAUCCGUUUCAAUUUUCGCCUAAAAUCUGACCCCUAAUUGGACCCCAAUUUCAGCCCAAUUUCAAUUAAAACCCGACCCAAGCCCAAUCCUAAAACUACCCGACCCAACCCAUAUCAAAUCUUGGUCGUUGAUCAAUUUUGAUCAACGGUCUAGAUCCGCCCAUACCUUUUUUAACCGAGCGACCCCCCCAAUAUCCCUCUCAUUCCUCACUCGUCUCUAUUUCUCUACUUCUGGUUCUCUCUAGAACCUUCCCUCUCCUCUUCGAUGAGUUCUGUUCAUCUCAUCCGGCCACCUUCUAACCUAAAUCUAUGGUGGUCUCACCACCCACCAAGCCACAUAUGGCUCCUCAAGUUUGGUUAACUGAAGCUUCAUGACUCGACCACGAAGAUUUGGGUCCAGACCUCUGUUGAUUCAAGCUUUACGGCCAUCUCCGGCCCUGCUUCUGCAAGCUAUGUCUGUUUCGAGCCUGGUUACGACUCCUUCUGUUUAGAUCCAAGCCUUUCUCACCGUUUGGGUUCCUCUAAAAACCCUAGCAUUGAGUUUUUUCUAAUCUCUUUAGAUCUAUUCCAGAUCUAUGCUUUCCCUAAGUUUUUAAACGAUUUUCUGGAUUUUCUUUCAAAAAACUACUUUCGAAACCAUCUCUUUUUCCGAUCUAGGGUUUUUCUAAAAUAUUUAGAUGUUUCUCUAUUUUUCUCUUUCUUUUGUGUGUUUCUUCUACUAUAUUUUCCUCUACUGUGAUUCUCGCAUGUCUCUUCUACUGUAUUUUUCUCUACUGUGAUUCUUGUGUGUUUCUUUACUGUAUAUUCCCCCACUGUGUUCUUGAGUGUGUCUUAUUAAGUUUCCUACACUAUGUUCUAGUUAAGUUUCUUCUAAUAUGUCUUAAUGUGUUUCUCCUACUAUUCUUAUCAGCUUCUCCAGUAUGUGUCGUAUUAGUUUUUUCUACCAUUUUUUCUUUGAACUCCUCUGCUAUGUUUCGUAUGCUACUCUUUUGCCAUGUUUCUCAUAAGUUUCUGUUGCUGAAAGGAACAUGUUAAAGGUUUCAGUUCUUUUCUGAGACCUCUGAACUUGUUCCGACUCAAGUACUUGUCCUCUCAUCUCUGCACUCGAUUGAUGGUAGAAACCCUAGAAUUUAGGGUUCGUCCUAGUUUGGAAACCAUUGGCUAUGUGAUUUACCCGAACUGGUUUUAUUUCAAAAACCCUAAACUCUUUCAGACCAGUUUCGAGUCUCUAAACUGAGCUUUGAAAUCCUUGUUUUUCAUAUGAUUCUGACUUUUGCUUUACCCUGGAUCUUUUUGCUACUUCUCUUCUACAUUGCUAACCUAUGUGACAACCAUGCUCCUGUAGCCCAUUAUCUACUGAUUUUGCAACGACACGACAUCUUCUUUCAGCUUAACAUGUCUGUAUGCUCUUUAUAUGUGAUGAACUUUCCUCUAAAAUGUCUUUCAAAUCUUGAUUAGUUUCAGACUUCCUUCUUAAUAGGUCUGAUUGAUUUCUUUCAAUUGUUUGUUGAUUUCCAUGUGAUUCGACUUAAGUUAAAACCUUUGUCAGCUUUUCUGACUUGGUUCAUUCAUAGCCUAAUAAUUACAAAAUCUCCGACUCUUGAUUUACUGGCUACUAAUUGAUUUUCUUACCUUAUUUGUUCAACCGUGUAUUUCAAAAUUCUGUCCCUUAAAUUUGAUAAUGUAUUUGGGUGUGAGCAUUGCCCGGAGUCCCCUUUGAGGCUCUUAGGGAACUUUGACACAUCCAAAUGGGAGAAAGUCUUUGGAUCAUGAUCGCUUGGAGUAGGUUUACCUCAUAUUUCAGAAAUGAAGCCUGAAUCAAGCUAUCUUUGGUUGUACUUUUCAAUUUUCUGAUGUAUUCUUUUACUUUUUUUUCCAGGCUGUAAUAAUUUGUAAUAAUUUCUUGGGGAUGGCUAGUGAAAAAAGGAGGGGUAACUAUGUAUGCAAAGGGUAGAUAUUCUGCCUAUAGGUAUUUCUGAAAUUCUGCAUUCUCACAUAGAUAUCCUGCAUAUAUGUAUUUCUGAAAUUCUGCAUUCUCACAUAGAUAUCCUGCCUAUAGGUAUUCUGAUUUUCUCACAUAGAUGCUAUGUCUAUAAGUAUUUCUGAACUCUGCAUGCUCUCAUAUAGAAAUCAAACCCAUAAGUACCUGGAAAUCUGAAUUUUGCAUAUGCAUAUAGAGAAAUAUGCAUAUAGGUCCUUCUAAAUCCCGUAUAUACGUUCUUCAUCUAGCAAUCUAGAUAUCAUGUCUAUAAGGCUUCUGCAUUCUUUAUCAUGUCUAUAAAAGGUUUUAAAAUCGACAACACAUAGAAAGCAUAUCUAUAGGAAUUAUUAAUCGAAUCUGAAUCGCUUCAUUCACUUAUAAGGCUAAGACCAGUAAUAACGACGUGUGAUCAUCUGCAGAACUUAUAACGCUUUUGCUAAAAACUUGCCUUUCUUUAAUAAUCUGGCAACCUUUCUUAACCCGUACGCAUUCAGUUUAUUUCAAUGCUUUCUGAAUUCAUUAGACACCACGUCUAUAGGAUCCUUGUCCAACAUUUAGGCAAGCUUUAGGGUGAAAAUUACAAAUAGAAUCUAUUUUUAUUAAUUACAACCAGCAGGCAGGCCUGAUUCGGGUUUCUUAUCUGAAUUAUGUAAUAAAUCAGUCUACCUCAGCUUUUAAGUUCUUAAUCAAACCCAAAACAGUAUGUGUAAGUCAUGCUAACUACGUGCUUCUUUGAUUGAAGGAGGUAUAUUUGAGCCUUUUUUUUACUUGUUAUGUUCUCCUCCCCAACUUGCUAUACAUAUUUUUGUAUAUCGCCUUAGAAUUCUGCAUUUGAAACUACAAAUAAGCCUAAUAUCCCUCCCUUUUAGGAUUAGUAGUCUUAAAUACCUCUGGGACUGAUAGGAUUGGGACGGGUAAUAGCAUGCAAUAAGUAAACAAGACCAUUUCGCGCUUUAAUACUUUAACGGGGUGGGAAAGGGUAGAUAUGGAUAUAAUGACCACGCGAUAAUAUCACGCGUAGCCCCUCACUGAGGAGUGAUUACCGGAUGUUGUGUGGGGUGAUCCAUAUUAUUAAUAAACCUAGGACUCCCCUUUCCCUUUGUUUCUUUGUUUCUUCUAAAGAUUUCAAACUUUUUUUAAAAAAAACAAUCAGCUUUCUUUUAGUUCUUUCCAACUUUAUUUGUUUAUAAACCCUUAUAUGAAAAUCCCCUCUUAUUUGAAGCUUUAUUUGUUUACGUGUUAUUUGCACUUAAGUUCAUAACAAUAGUCUAGCCGGGAACCACAUUAGUGGAUCCUGAGGGGUGCCUAACACCUUCCCCUUGGGAUAAUUUCAAGCCCUUACCCUAUCUCUGGUUACUUAAAUCAAACCCUCUUGGUGUCCUAAUGCACCUUAAUCAUUAGGUGGCGACUCUUCAAAUUCAAACCCAAUUCCCAAAAGGUAAUGAGUUAUCCUCCCAAAUGUCACGAACCUGAUUUUGCUCGAGAAAAAGGGGGCGUGACACUAGUUGUUAGGUGAAUAAUGUUAAGUGUAAAUGACCAAGGAAUGAUAAACAAACCGACGUGGCUAUAAGGUUGAGGGCCUCGAGCUCGGCGAUGUAGGAUCUUGAAGGCAGCCUUUAAUGGGUUGAUGAUAAGCAAUAAAUGAAGAAGAAUAAAUGAACGAUGAAUGAACAAAAGCAAUAAAUGUGUAGAUUAAUUGUUUAAACAUAGAGCAGAGAACGUUGUAUUGUAUUCAAUGAUCCUGUGUCUACAAAAUGACAUAGGUCCCCUUUAUAUAGGAGGGGAAAUCCCAACAUAGUAAAUGUCUAAUAAUAGUGACGAAAUGCUAUUGGUACAGUUAUAUAAUAGCUUAGUACGGAUUUGUACUAUUCUUGCAGACCAGGUUAGCUCUAAACACAUAUAUUUGGGAGCUUACCCGCCUUUCCAUGACGAUCAUCGAUUGUACUGCUCCGAGAUCAACCAUAGUGGGCCUUCGAUGUGCUCCCUCGAGGGACACACCUCGGGGUUGUACCACACGUUCUACUUCGGGCUUCUCGAGGUUGGCGUGGAGCGGCAUAAUAUCCCCAAAGUCGAACUCCCCAAUUUUGGUCGUAUACAAAUAAUUAGAUUACAUAGUGUAGCUAGAUGUAGCUUUACAUACUUUAGAUUUGGUUUUGGACAAACACUAUAUAUAUAUAUAUUAGUGUCACCACCCAAAACAUAGCCUGUUAUGGUUACGCCUGACAUAGUACUAGGCAAGCCGACUUCCCAAACAUUUCCAACACUUUUAAAUUAAAAAUGAACUAAAAUAGCUUUAAAUAAUUAAUACUCUCAUAAACUGGAUAGAAGUUCAAAAAUCAAUAUAGAUAUUCCCGAAACAAGGGUGUCACUGAGUAUAUGAGCAUCUAUACAACUGAAGUCUGAAAUAUUAUCUAUGAAAAACUGAAAUUAAAUACAUAAAGUUGAAAGAUAGGGAAGAAGAGUCAAGGUCUGCGGACGCCAGGUAUCUACCUCGUAAUCUCCGAAUGAUUAAGUUGCUCAAAUGAUCGGCACGCACUAUGUCUGGAAACAUUUGGAUCUGCACACGAAGUGCAGGGUGUAGCGUGAGUACAACCAACUCAGUAAGUAACAAAUCUAACCUUUGGACGGAAAGAAGUGAUGAGUUUGAGUAAUACAGUCCGCAUGCAGUAUUAACAGUACAAAAACUUACAACAAAGUAUGACAAUGAUAUAUCAUAAAUUUAUAAUCAACAAGUAAAGGUGCAAGAAUUUAGAUAUGCUUUCAGGUUUUGCAAUAAAAAUCAACACAGAACAGGGUAGAUCCAACCCAGGGCAGAUCUAGCCCAAACGCAAAUAUACCAGGGCAGAUCCAGCCUAACUGUAAAUAACCGCUAGCAUUGCACCCACUGUGGAUGUGCAGACUCCAGAGAGGCCAAUCCCGCCCAAGCGCUAUAAUAAGCCAAAUCCUGGCAUGAAUCAAUAUAUAUUGCGGCGAGCAGUCUGAUCCUAUGAAUAUUACUCACAAUUGAUCCUCAGUCUCACUUAGUCAUUAAUCUCUCCAGUCUCUCGGGCUAGCCAGAAUCAUGAUAAUCAUCCCAAACAAUUAUGAUAUGAUGUAUCAAAUAAAGGACAACAGAGACGGAGACAUAUUAUGCAAAUAAUAGUUGUGACUGAGUAUAAAAUGGCAAGUUAACCAAAUAGUUCAACUUGUAACACGACCUCUGUGGGUCCUAACAAUACCAAAACGUAGCCUAAGCAGGAUUUCUAACAUGAUUGGUAGGUCAAUAACUCUAACACAUGGUGAAAGUACGGGUAACAACAAGAUUAUUCAACUAUACAGUUCCACGGAAUCGGCGUCAUAAUUCUUACGAUGCACGCCCCCAUGCUCGUCACCUCAACACAAAUCACAUAACAUGUAAUUAGGGGUUUCGUACCCUUAGAACCAAGUUUAGAAGUGUUACUUACCUCAAAUCGUGCAAAUAACUACUGUUGCCUCGUGAAACGGCCUUCGAAUGCCUCGAAUCUAGCCAUAAACUAUUCGAUACAAUCAACACCGACUAAAGGAAUCAAUUCCAUAUGAAAUUACUAAGUUCUUAAUCAAAAGUCAAAAAGUCAACUCAAAAGUCGACCCCCGGACCCACGUCCUGGAAUCCGAUAAAAGUCACAAAAUCCGAAUACCCAUUCAACUAUGAGUACAACCAUAUCAAAUUGACCAAAAUCCAACACCAAAUCGUCACUCAAAUCCCAAAUUAAACUCUCUAAAUCCCUAGCCUCAACUACCAAAAUCACACCUCGAAAAUACACAAACUAGGUGGGAAAUUCAAUGGAGAAACAAAAUUAUUGAAUAAAAAUGACCACAAGUGACUUACCUUAAGAAACCCCUCGAGAAUCCUCUCAAAAAUCACCUUAGACCGAGUUUGCAAAGUUCAAAAUGAGCAAAAUCAUGACCUCUUCGAAUUUAAUGUUCUGUCCAAGGGUCUCGCACUUUUGUUCCACUAGACCGCUUCUACGAUCUCGCUUCUGCAGAUUUCCCAUCCCUUCUGCGAACCAGGACCCCCAACACACUUCUGCAUAUGUGGCCUCUCAUGAGCAGAUGCGCAUCCGCAUCUCCUGAUUUACUUCUGCGCCUGCGCCUCCAUGCUUCCUCUCCAAUCUCGCAACUGCGACACCUCUUCGCAUCUACGACCUCGCAGGUGAGAACAAAUCCUUUGCACUGGCAGAAUUCCCUAGCGCAGACCACCCUAGCACCUGGGCCACUCCAGCCGUACCUGCGGCCAAUCUCCUCGCAUGUGCGAUCACACCAGAAGGCUCCCAGCUUCAGCAAUGCUCUAAGUCCCAUUUUUUAUCUGAUAACCAUCUGAACUCCACCCAAGGUCCCCGAGACCUCAACCAAACACACCAACAAGUCCUAAAACAUUAUAUGAACUUAUUCAAGCCCUUAAAUCACGUCAAAAAAUAUCAAAAAUACGAAUAGCACCCCAACUCAAGCCUAACAAAAACUAAGGAAUUCAAACUUUUAUAAUCGAUGUCGAAACCUAUGGAAUCAAGUCCGAUUGAUCUCAAAUUUUGCACACAAGUCACAAAUGAAAAAACAGACCUACUCCAAAUCCUGGAACCCCAAUUUGAGCUCGUUAUCCACAAAGUCAACUCUCAGUCAAACUUCUAAAUUUCUAAAGCUUCAAAUUUUCCAACUUUCGCCAUUUUAAGCCUAAUUCAACUGUGGACCUCUUAAUCACUAUCCAGACACACUGCUAAGCUUAAAAUAACCCAGUUGAGCUAAUGGAACCAUCAAAACUCUAUUCCGGAGUCGUUUACGCAUAAGUCAACAUCCAGUCAUCCUUUUCAACUUAAGCUUCCAAUUAUGAGACUAAGUGUCUCAACGCAUUUUGAAACAUCCCCGGAACCAAACCAACUACCCCGGCAAGUCACACGGUAGCUAAUAAGCAUAAAAUAAACAGUAAAUGAGAGAAACGGACUACAACUCUCAAAACAACCGGCCAGAUCAUUACAAUUAGCUACUAGGCAUCUGGCCUAGUGAUAUAUUUGCUAAACAAACCAAUAACUCAACAGAAGAACAAUAGAAUCCGACUUCGAUUCUGGUUCAAUCACAAUACUCAAGACAGGUGAAAAAAGAAAAACAAGCAGCGAUGAGAAAAGCAAAUUUGGAAUGAGUAGAUAGGGACAAAGUAAAAAGGAUGAGGAGUUUUUAAAUAAAAUCUGGCCACAGGUUAAAAAAAAAAUACUAAAGCAAGUAAAUAAAUAAAAGUUGGGCUAUUUUCUAUUUCAAGCGCUAAUUAGCCCUUAUUAUUUUAAUAAAAAUUACACGGGGCGCUCUAUUUGGUCGCCCCCAUUUAAUUUAUAUUUUUUGUUUUAAGUUUUAAUUUGUACCCACUUUUUAAAUAACUUUUCUCCUCCUUCGUUAUCUUCUUCUUUCUUCUGCUGCUGUUGGUACUGCUAAAGCAACUGUACAAUUUUUUAAAGUUUCUUAUAUACAGUUUCUUUUUUUUCUUCUUCUGAAUUUGUACAUAUUGAGCGAAGUGAUGCACUUUGUUAAUGAAAAUUUAGAAAUGAUUUCUUUUCCUGGGAUUCUACACACUCAUCUUCGUUUGUCUAUUUUGUUACUAUUUGAUGUGCAUUUUGCUGACCAAAAAAACACUACUUAAUUAGGCGUCUUUAAGUAGAGCUAGGUUCCCAUUUUACGAUUAGUCCAAACAAAACUGUCUUGACAAUUUUUUGCCGAGAAAAUUAGCCAUGUAAAAGUUGCUUGGUAAAGUGACUUCCACAUGUAAUAGGGCUAAGGCACUGACAGUUGCAAUUGUUUUCCGUGUCAAAAAGAAAAAGCUUAAGCCAUAAGCAGAAAGUAAGCAACAACUUCAGCUUUUAGUGCUGAAGUUUUUACAAAUUAACUAAAUAAAUUCAACAUCUUCUGCUGAACUUUUUAAAAAAGCUUAUCCAGGACAAAAAAACUUCAGCUUAUUUAGUGCUGAAAUUUUUAUAAAUAAACUAAAUAAUUUCAGCAUCUUCUGCUGAAAUUUUUGAAAAAGCUUAAUGACAAAACUAAUGAAUCCGUGACAAAAACAUUUCAGCUUAUUUAGUGAAAUUACAAACAAAAAACAUCAGCAAAUAUAGAACAAAACUUCAGCUACUAUGCUUAUGUUCAGCAAUUACAAACAAAAACUUCAGCAAAUAGAGAACAAAACUUCAGCUACUAUGCUUAAGUUCAGCAAUUACAAACAAAAACUUUAGCACACUUGCUACUUCAUGCCUGUCUACUAGAAUGCUGAAGUUUUGCGUGAUUGUCUUUGUUACUUCAGCCCCGUAUGCUGAAGUUACGCGAAAAAGUGGGUAUGCUUGCAAUUCUUUUUUGCAGAGCGAGCACAAGUUAAAACGUGACCCAAAAUGCGGGUAUAGAUGCAAAUCCCCCAUUAUUUUAUCACCUAAUUUAGUCCAAUCUCUAUAUAUUAGCUAGCUUUUUUUUAAAAAAAAAACAUGGUUUCAACUUCUUUUUUAUUUUUUUCACAUGUUUUUCAACUCCCACUCCAUUUUUUUUCUUACCUUCUCUCUCCAAUUAAAAGUUCCCGCCAACAUUUUAAAGAGUAAUAUCCACUUUCUUUCCAAAACAGGAAACCUUGUUUCUCUUUCUUGCUUUUCUUGCCAGCCCCGAUAACCCCUGUUCUCAUAUCUUUUUCUUUUCAUCAAUCUUUCUUACUUUUGCUCUUCUUUUUUUUUUUUACAAGCUUUCUCAUGUCAUCCCUUUUCUUUUUCUUUCUUGGUCUUUUUAAUUUUAUUUUUUCUCUCUUAGAAGACCUGUUUGUUAAUGCAAAAUGUAAAUCUGAAAGCAUAUAACGAUUGAGCUAUUGAAUGUGCUUCUUUAUUGUAGCAAAAUGAAGAAGAAUUUUUCCACAGAUUAGAAUAAAGAGCUUCUCAGUUAUUAGUAUAUCCACAAUGUAUAAUAAUGUGUAAUAAUCUAGUAUAUGUAUGGUUAUACAAUGUAAAUACCUUAUAUAUACAUGGUUAUACAANNNNNNNNNNNNNNNNNNNNNNNNNNNNNNNNNNNNNNNNNNNNNNNNNNNNNNNNNNNNNNNNNNNNNNNNNNNNNNNNNNNNNNNNNNNNNNNNNNNNNNNNNNNNNNNNNNNNNNNNNNNNNNNNNNNNNNNNNNNNNNNNNNNNNNNNNNNNNNNNNNNNNNNNNNNNNNNNNNNNNNNNNNNNNNNNNNNNNNNNNNNNNNNNNNNNNNNNNNNNNNNNNNNNNNNNNNNNNNNNNNNNNNNNNNNNNNNNNNNNNNNNNNNNNNNNNNNNNNNNNNNNNNNNNNNNNNNNNNNNNNNNNNNNNNNNNNNNNNNNNNNNNNNNNNNNNNNNNNNNNNNNNNNNNNNNNNNNNNNNNNNNNNNNNNNNNNNNNNNNNNNNNNNNNNNNNNNNNNNNNNNNNNNNNNNNNNNNNNNNNNNNNNNNNNNNNNNNNNNNNNNNNNNNNNNNNNNNNNNNNNNNNNNNNNNNNNNNNNNNNNNNNNNNNNNNNNNNNNNNNNNNNNNNNNNNNNNNNNNNNNNNNNNNNNNNNNNNNNNNNNNNNNNNNNNNNNNNNNNNNNNNNNNNNNNNNNNNNNNNNNNNNNNNNNNNNNNNNUUCCCUUGAAGUAAUUGGAAAAUAAUUGUAACGACCCAACCGGUCAUUUUGCUUUCUAGAACCCUGUUUCCCUAAAUGAGUCUUCUCGUACUUGCUUUUACUUAUUUAUGACUUGCAGGGAUGGUUAGUUCGGGAUUUGGAAGGGUUCGGGUUGAAAUCGGAAUACUUGGUUCCUUAAUGUUGGCUUAAAAGGCCAAGUUUGACUUCGGUCAACAUUCUAAGUAAAUGUGACGACCCGGUCGGUUGUCUUAAGAAUUCACACCCUGAUCCUCUAUUAACUGCUUUCCCAAAGUUUAUUUCUGCUAUUUUGAUUUGCCGGGAUGUUCGGUAUUGGGUUUCGGAGAGUUUUGGGACACUUAGUCCCUAAAUGAGAGCUUAAAUGUUGGAAAGUUGACUGUAGUCGGAACAGUGUGAAGACGGCCUCGGAAUGGAAAUCUAAUGCUUUCCUUAGCUCUGUUAGGUGAUUUCGGGGUUAGGAGCAUAUUCGGAUUGUGUUUUGGAGGUCCGUAGCUAAUUUAGGCUUCAAAUGCCGAAGGUUGAAUUUUUGAUGUUUCCAGGUCGAUAGCGAGAUUUUGAUCCGAGGGACGGAAUGAAAUUCCAAGAGUUGCAGUAGUUCCGUUUGUGUCAUUUGGGAUGUGUGUGCAAAAUUUCAGGUCAUUCGGACGAGGUUUGAUAGACUUUUUUAUCGAAAGCGUAUUUUUGAGAAUUUUGGAGUUCUUAGGCCUGAAUAAAUGGUUAAUUCGAGGUUUCGAUGUUGUUUUAGGUAUUUUAAGGAUUGCUACAAGUUUGGAUAGUGGUUUGUGCCUUGUUGGUACCUUUGGUUGAGGUCCCGGAGAGCUCGAGAUGAUUUCAGAUGGUUAACGGGAAGAUUUUUGAAUUUAAGUUGCAGCUUCUGCUGCUGGUUCUGUCAUAACCGCACCUACGAUUUGGGUUCCGCAGAUGUGGCUAGGUGACCGCAGAAGCAGAAUAUGGUCAUCUUCCCAGGAACCGCAUAUGCGGUAAAAAGUUCGCAGAAGCGGAACUGCCCCUGCGGUUAAUGUUCUGCAUAUGUGAAAUCUGGCCUUAAGUGGGAAGGAGCAGAUGCGACAUUUGUUCCGCAGAAGCAGGACCGCAGAUGCGGUCCCAGGGCCGCAAAUGCGGAAUCACUGGGCAGAACAUAUAAAUAGUUGUCUUCGCGAAUUUGAGUGAUUCUUUCACCAUUUUCAUCCGGGUUUGAAGCUUUUGAGAGAGAAUUUUGAGGGAAACAAAGGGGAAUCACUUGGAGGUAACAUCCCUGACUUCAUAACUCGUUUUUAUGUGAUUAAGGACCUAAUUAGUGGUGAAAAUUUUGGGAAAAAUGGGUAAUUAGGGCUUGAGUUUAAGAGACUUUUAAAUUAGGAUUUGAGGGGACAUUUGAACUCCGAUUUCAUUGUUCUUAUUAUGCAUAGACUCGUGAGGGUAUGAGGUUUCUGAAAAUAUAAAUUUCACCCGAUUCCGAGAUGUGGGCCCGAGGGGCGUUUUGGUCAUUUUACCUAAUUUCGCGUAUUAGCUUAGAAUUAAAUUGUAGAAUCAGUUUCUUGAAGUUUUAUUUACAUUAUGAAAUUGAAUUGAAUAGAUUUGGGCCAUUUGGAGUCGAGUACUCGUGGCAAGAAUCAUUUGGGCUCCGAUUUCAGUGUUAUUUACCUGGACUCUAUGCAGCAUGCUAGGCUAGAAUUAUUUGUUGCCUUAAUAUGAAAUUUCCCUUCUCUGAAUAUUUUCUGCUACUGCUGUGUAUUUAUAUUUGGGACUACGGAUCAGGAUUCCGGUAGAUCCCCGCAUUGAUAGUUGGACUACGGAACGAGAUCCCGGGAGAUCCACUGGACAGUUGUAAUAGGGACUACAGGACGGUAACCUGGGAGAUCCCCGAUUUGUUACUAUUGGUGCUGAGUUGUAUCUCCUUCCGUGUUUACCUCAUUUCAGUAUAGUUGUUGCUGUCAUGUAUAUUCUGUUUUAUUUUCACUACUUUGCUUAUUUAUACUGUUUUGUCUUAUACUAUUGAAACUUAUUAUUUUGUUUAACCUCAGUAGGGACCUGGCCUUCCUCGUCACUACCCGACCGAGGUUAGGCUUGGCACUUACUGAGUACCGAUGUGGUGUACUCAUGCCCUUUCUGCGCAUGUUUUUUUCAUGUGCUCCAGGUACCUCUACUCAGGCUUACCAUUCUUGAGGUGAGGCGAUUCUACGGGACUUCGAGGUAUAUCUACCGCGUCCGCAGACCGAGGUGUCUCUCUUUAUUCCUGUAUUUAGUAUUUAGCCCUUCCGUACUUUUGUUCUUGUUAGAAAUUCCAGAGAUUAGAACUAUGUAGUAUUUUCUCAGCUUGUGUUCCCGUGAAUUUCCGGGUUUUGGGAUAAUGUUGUAGAAUUUUGAGAUUUUGUGUUAUAUAUGCCGAGCGGCAUUCUAUAUACUGUUUUUCAUUUGGUUAUUCUUGGCUUUUAAUUGACAUUUCCGCAAGUUUCCUUUUAUUUCUGUACUUGUUAAGCUUACCUAGUCGUAGAGACUAUGUGCCGUCACGACAGUUCAUGGAGGGCGAACUGGGGUCGUGACAAGUUGGUAUCAGAACUCUAGGUUCAUAGGAGUCACGGAUCACAAGCUAGUUUAUUAGUGUCUCACUGAUCUAUAUGGAGACGUCUGUACUUAUCUACGAGAGGCGAUGUAACUUUUAGGAAAAUUUCCACUUCAUUUGAUUUCCUUGUCGUGCCAUAUUUUGACAUCACAAUUCUAAACUUUUGUCUUAUAUUCCCUUAUAGAUGGUGAGGACACGUGCUACUCGAGAUGAUCAGGCACCCACU